UACGUAGGGGGCAAGCGUUGUCCGGAUUUAUUGGGCGUAAAGCGCUCGCAGGUGGUUCGAUGCGUCGUGCGUGAAAGCCCCCGGCUCAACUGGGGAGUGUCGUGCGAUACGGUCGAACUGGAGGCCAGUAGGGGGAUGCGGAAUUCCCGGUGUAGCGGUGAAAUGCGUAGAUAUCGGGAAGAACACCAGUGGCGAAAGCGCUCUACUGGGCCAUAACUGACACUGAGGGACGAAAGCUAGGGGAGCGAAAGGG
rnacentral:rRNA from 1 species